CCUACGGGUGGCAGCAGUGGGGAAUAUUGGACAAUGGGGGAAACCCUGAUCCAGCGACGCCGCGUGAGUGAAGAAUUAUUUCGGUACGUAAAGCUCUAUCAGCAGGACAGAAAAUGACGGUACCUGACUAAGAAGCCCCGGCUAACUACGUGCCAGCAGCCGCGGUAAUAGGUAGGGGGCAAGCGUUAUCCGGAUUUACUGGGUGUAAAGGGAGCGUAGACGGCAGCGCAAGUCUGGAGUGAAAUGCCGGGGCCCAACCCCGGUACUGCUCUGGAAACUGGGAAGCUGGAGUGCAGAGGAGGUAAGCGGAAUUCCUGGUGUAGCGGUGAAAUGCGUAGAUACCAGGAUGAAAACCGGCGGCGCAGGCGGAUUACUGGACUGUAACUGACGUUGAGGCUCGAAGGCGUGGGGAGCAAACAGGAUUAGAGACCCCGGUAGUC
rnacentral:rRNA from 1 species